rnacentral:sRNA from 1 species
GUGGCUCCACAGGAUCUGGUCCAAGCUACCCUUAUGGGGUCACUCAACCAAAACACCUCUCAGCCUCCAUGGGUGGCUCUGUGGAAAUCCCCUUCUCCUUCUAUUACCCCUGGGAGUUAGCCACAGCUCCCGACGUGAGAAUAUCCUGGAGACGGGGCCACUUCCACGGGCAGUCCUUCUACAGCACAAGGCCGCCUUCCAUUCACAAGGAUUAUGUGAACCGGCUCUUUCUGAACUGGACAGAGGGUCAGAAGAGCGGCUUCCUCAGGAUCUCGAACCUGCGGAAGCAGGACCAGUCUGUGUAUUUCUGCCGAGUUGAGCUGGACACACGGAGCUCAGGGAGGCAGCAGUGGCAGUCCAUCGAGGGGACCAAACUCUCCAUCACCCAGGGGACCUGCAGGGACGGACACUCUCACUGCCUGCGCCCUGGUAAACCACUGCACCAUCUUAACCACUGUGUUGGUUUUGGAGCAGAUGGAAAGUGGCUCCAUAAUCUAAAUGAAGCAAGACAGCCUUGAACUUUGAUUUCCUACAUAUUUCCUUAAAUGGCCUUUUUUGAGAGAUUUGGGUUUUUCUCAGGCCUUCUCUUCCUCUUUCCUUAAUUCCUGCUUGCUUUUCUCACCUCUCUGCAUAGGUCAGAUUUGUUGUUUUUUUCACUAAUAAAUUGUAUUUUCAAUUAAUUC